rnacentral:rRNA from 1 species
UGGGGAAUAUUGCACAAUGGGCGCAAGCCUGAUGCAGCCAUGCCGCGUGUGUGAAGAAGGCCUUCGGGUUGUAAAGCACUUUCAGCGGGGAGGAAGGCGGUGAGGUUAAUAACCUCAUCGAUUGACGUUACCCGCAGAAGAAGCACCGGCUAACUCCGUGCCAGCAGCCGCGGUAAUACGGAGGGUGCAAGCGUUAAUCGGAAUUACUGGGCGUAAAGCGCACGCAGGCGGUCUGUCAAGUCGGAUGUGAAAUCCCCGGGCUCAACCUGGGAACUGCAUUCGAAACUGGCAGGCUAGAGUCUUGUAGAGGGGGGUAGAAUUCCAGGUGUAGCGGUGAAAUGCGUAGAGAUCUGGAGGAAUACCGGUGGCGAAGGCGGCCCCCUGGACGAAGACUGACGCUCAGGUGCGAAAGCGUGGGGAGCAAAC